rnacentral:tRNA from 1 species
GGAUGGGUGGCAGAGCGGUUUAUUGCACCGGUCUUGAAAACCGGAGACGUCGAAAGGCGUCCGUGGGUUCGAAUCCCUCCCCAUCCG